CACGUAGGGCGCAAGCGUUGUCCGGAAUUAUUGGGCGUAAAGAGCUCGUAGGUGGUUUGUUACGUCUGCUGUGAAAACCUAGGGCUUAACCCUGGGCUUGCAGUGGAUACGGGCAGACUAGAGGUAGGUAGGGGAGAAUGGAAUUCCUGGUGUAGCGGUGAAAUGCGCAGAUAUCGAGAGGAACACCUGCGGCGAAGGCGGGUUGCUGGGCCGACACUGACGCUGAUGCGCGAAAGCCAGGGGAGCGAACGGG
rnacentral:rRNA from 1 species